AGCCCCAUGCGCAUGCCGCUCCGCCUUAACCCGCUUCUGCGGCGUGACUCGACCCUGAGCAAAGCCAGCCAAUUGUGGGCUCCGAGUGCCGGAUUGACACACGUAGUAACCAAUCACAAAAGGUGCCCGCCCACCUCGCGCGUCCUAAGGAGCCCACGGGAAGUGGAUGGGCGGGUGGAAGGACGGAAGAACGCUACCUAGGGGAAGAGCGGAAGGGGUCUCCAGAGGACAGUGCGAGGGGCGGUGCUAGUGCUUGUCUUCUAGAUGCUGAGAAGGGCCUCUGCCUGAGGAGACUGGCUGCUGGCUAACUGGAGAGGCGACUGCGCUGGGCGGGAGACCUUGAGGGUUCUGGGAAAGCGUGCUAACGAGACCUGCCUGCGCGCGGAAUAGCUGCCCAAGAGUUUUUACGUAUAGUUUGGCUGACUAAACUGUUCUAGGGUGUUAAUUAAAUAUAGCCUAUAGAGACGCUUCAUUUUAAUGAGUAACGUUUAAAGAAAGAUAAAGAAAGAAUGGGAGCCAGUAUGAGGACCUGAGUUUGAUUCCCAGGGACCCACGUAGUGAGCAAGAGAAUUUCCGAAAAGUUGCCUUCUGUCCUCCACACACAUGCCCAAUGAAAUGAAGAGAGGAUUUUGGGGAACUCAAGGUCAACCUACACAGCAAGACGCUGUCUCAAAUAAUACAUAAUUCAUCAGACUUAAAUUAUUGGAAUGUGAAUGUAGUUCAGUGAUACAGCGUUUGCCUGCCAGGUGAAGGUUGGAGGUUUGGUCCCAGUAACCAAAAUGUAACAACAAAACAAGAUCCAUGGAAGAAUUGCUUGUGAUGCCACGUAACAGUGUAUCCACAGACAGAAGAGAUAUAAGAGGAAACAUGUGCACCAAGUUGUACUGUCUAUUGACCAGGGCCCCAGAAACAGGCAUUUGCCUAGAACACAACUACCAACCAAAGACCAACUCCUUCCUAUACUGCUUGAUCUGUCAGUCUUCUAUUGGACUCCUGGAGGGAAGACACAAUGAGCACCCCCUCCCCAGGACAUUGAGACAGUCUCUAAUAUUACAGUAUUUUUAUUGUUGUUAAAUGAUUCAUCAAUCCUGCUUCCAUUUAUUUCAUUUUAAAGGGGCUGAUAGCUACAACAAAAAAAAAAAAAGAAAAAAAAAA